CCUACGGGUGGCAGCAGUGAGGAAUAUUGCACAAUGGGGGAAACCCUGAUGCAGCGACGCCGCGUGAGUGAAGAAGUAUCUCGGUACGUAAAGCUCUAUCAGCAGGGAAGAAAAUGACGGUACCUGACUAAGAAGCCCCGGCUAACUACGUGCCAGCAGCCGCGGUAAUACGUAGGGGGCAAGCGUUAUCCGGAUUUACUGGGUGUAAAGGGAGCGUAGACGGCAGCACAAGUCUGGAGUGAAAUCCCGGGGCUUAACCCCGGAACUGCUUUGGAAACUGUGCGGCUGGAGUGCAGGAGGGGUAAGCGGAAUGCCUAGUGUAGCGGGGAAAGGGGUAGAUAUUAGGAGGAAAACCGGUGGCGAAGGCGGCUUACGGGCCUGUACCUGACGUUGAGGCUCGAAAGCGUGGGAGCAAACAGGAUUAGAUACCCGAGUAGUC
rnacentral:rRNA from 1 species